rnacentral:rRNA from 1 species
GACGGGGCCCGCACAAGCGGUGGAGCAUGUGGUUAAUUCGAUGCAACGCGAAGACCUUACCUGGGCUUGACAUCCCGAGAAUCCCCUGGAAACAGGGAGUGCCCUUCGGGGAGCUCGGAGACAGGUGCUGCAUGGCUGUCGUCAGCUCGUGUCGUGAGAUGUUGGGUUAAGUCCCGCAACGAGCGCAACCCUUGUCUUUAAUUGCCAUCAUUGAGUUGGGCACUUUAAAGAGACUGCCGGUGUUAAACCGGGGGAAGGUGGGAUGACGUCAAGUCCUCAUGGCCUUUAUGUCCAGGGCUACACACGUGUUACAAUGGCCGGUACAGAGGGCAGCUACCUGGAGACAGGAUGCGAAUCUCGAAAGCCGGUCUCAGUUCGGAUCGGAGUCUGCAACUCGACUCCGUGAAGCUGGAUUCGCUAGUAAUCGCGCAUCAGCCAUGGCGCGGUGAAUACGUUCCCGGGCCUU